rnacentral:lncRNA from 1 species
AGUUCCUGUGGGCGUGGACAUUCCAGUCACAGAACAGCAGCUCUACAUCAUGAAGGCUCCUGAAGAACCCAAACUACCCAUGAAAAUGCAAGUGAAAAGUCCUGCUCUGGUGUAUUACUGACGCUGCUUCUAGAAAACCCCUUUAUUAGAAGGCAGCAUGAAACCAGCAUUGGGAUAUAAGGGCAUAUCCUUUGCUAAAAGAAAACCUCCUUCUAAUACUCCUAACCAAAGGGCAGAAGUGCUGUCUGAAUGCCACCUUUCUCUGAUUCUUGGGGCUUCGUCUUCGAAGACCAAGAGGAUCCUCCUUCAUCUGAAACCUCUCAGAAAGGGAAAGGUUGGUCACGACUUGCUCCCCCAGCAAGGAGCUUCAGGCACUGCCGACUGUGUUCAGUAACCCAUCUCUGACAGGAUGCUCUUCAGGAAGAUUCCUGCUAGCUUAUCUCAGAAGAACAGCAGCCUGUGCGUGAGCCUCUUCCCUUGAGAAUUUCCUCUUCCUUCGGCAGUGUCUUGAAAUGGCCACAUUUUCCAUUUCUGUGACUUCCUAUCAGCUUUUCAAAAGCUCCCCUACAAACUAAAGUUGUUCUGGCAUUGACAAUGUGAUCUCAGGAUUUCCACAACUGGCUUUCCUCAAGAUGAAUCUUGGGAUGAGUUUGGCAGCAGAUUGUGUGAUAAGGAGCGCUGGUAUGGGAGUCAGAAAGUGUCGUGAACCCUGCAGAGCAAGUGACAUCACCUCUCUCCAUCUCAUUGUCAUCAACUGUAAGUGAGAGAGUGAAUGAAGGAUGCUUCCAACUGUCAAAUCCUGUAAGUCAAGAGAACCUGUGCUCCAGAGGAGAACAUGGAUAUUGGCAAAAAGUUUCUGCUGCACCAUGAACCCAAGAACUGUGAACACAUCCCAGUGGGCAGACAGCUGGCUGCCUACCAAAUCUAUCUUCCUAUUCUUUCAACGUAAUGGUCCAGCCCAAUAUGUGACCUCUCAGUUGGAGACUAUGUUUCAAGAGUCCCUUGCUGGCAAGUGUCUGAGCUCCUUCCAAUGGAAUGUGAGCAGAAGGGAUGGGAGAUGUUUCUAGGCCCAGCAUCUGACACAACCUUCCCCAUGGUUGGUGCUGAACUCCAGAACAGCUGAGGACCGACUGGCUUUGAGCAUGCAGGUGCAGGACUGUAUGAGAGAUGAAAAACUUCUUGGUCCUUGAAAUAAACUUUUCCUCUAAAAUCUUAUAUAAACCUUGGGACUCAUGCAUAAGAAUUAAAGAGAAAGAAGAAAAGAAAUCCCUUUUUGUUUCCUUGCAUGGAACAGAGACAUGGAGGAGUUUGGUGUCUUAGUAAGUAGUAGUAAGUAGUUGGGUUUGGCUGAAGUGCGUGUGUGUGUGUGUGUGUGUGUGUGUGUGUUGUGGGCUGGGACCCAGGAUGAGGGGUUGUGGAGUACAGGAGGCCUCUUUUUUUUUGUUUUGAGAUGGAGUCUUACUCUGUCACCCAGGCUAGAGUGCAGUGGCAUUAUCUUGGCUCACUGCAACCUCCGCCUCCUGGGUUCAAGUGAUUCUGGGGCCUCAGCCUCCUGAGUAGCUGGGAUUACAGGUGUGCAUCAACAUGCCUGGCUAAUUUUUACAUUUUUAAUAGGGACGGGGUUCCACCAUGUUGGUCAGGCUGGUCUUGAAUUCCUGACCUCAUGAUCCACCCACCUCAGCCUCUCAAAGUGCUGGGAUUAGAGGUGUGAGCCACCAUGCCCGGCCUCUUUUUUUAAUUUAAUUUUUUUUUUUUUUUUGACACAGGGUCUUAUUCUGUCACCCUGUUUGGAGCACAGUGUUUUGAUCAUAGCUCACUGCAGCCUCAACCUCCCUGGCUCAAGCAAUCCUCCUACCUCAACCUCCUGAGUAGCUGGGACCACAAGUGUGUAUCACCAUGCCUAGCUAAUUUUUUUUUUUUUUUCUAAUUUUUGGUAGAGACAGAAUCUCUCUGUUGCCCAGGCUGGUCUUGAACUCCUGGGCUCAAGCAAUCCUCCUGCCUCGGCCUCUCAAAAUGCUGGGAUUACAAGUGUGAGUCAUUUCACCCAGCUGACAGACCUCUUAGUGAGCAUAGCAAGGGCAAGCGCUGGGGUCAGAUUCCCAAGGUGGACCCACAUUUGAGGGAUGGUCAUGGUCAGAGAAAGUAUAAGGCAGCAAAAGAGUCCAGGAAAACGAUUAAGAAGUAGCAGAUGCUAGAGAAAGUGGCACCAUGAAGCCAAGGAAGAAGUUUCCAAGUGACACAGAUAUUUGCUACUCCAUUUUCUUUUCGAAAUGAGAAUAAUGCUUAUUUUUCUUCUGUAAGAGUUUUUCUUCUGAAAUAAAAAGUUUUCAAAGGGAAUUCAAUGAAAACAAUUAACUAAUUUAUUCUUUGGUCCUCGG